GACGAAACGUUGGCGGCGCGCCUAAUGCAUGCAAGUCGAGGGAGAACCGCUCGAUCCGUAAGGAUCGACGGGGAAACCGGCGAACGGGUGCGUAACACGUGAGGAACCUGCCCCGAAGACCCGGGAUAGCCCGGGGAAACCCGGAUUAAUACCGGAUGUCCUCGAGGGACCGCAUGGUCCGUCGAGGAAAUGGUCCGCCGCUUUGGGAUGGCCUCGCGGCCUAUCAGCUUGUUGGUGAGGUAACGGCUCACCAAGGCCGAGACGGGUAGCUGGUCUGAGAGGACGAUCAGCCACACUGGGACUGAGACACGGCCCAGACUCCUACGGGAGGCAGCAGCAGGGAAUAUUGCACAAUGGGCGAAAGCCUGAUGCAGCGACGCCGCGUGCGGGAUGAAGGCCUUCGGGUUGUAAACCGCUUUCAGGAGGGACGAAAAUGACGGUACCUCCAGAAGAAGCCCCGGCCAACUACGUG
rnacentral:rRNA from 1 species